GGGGGGCUCACUGAGGACUGUGAGGCGUGGCAACCAGAAAACACAACAGCGUUGGGUGUGGAUUGGGCAAGGGAGCUUGCCAUGUAUGCGGGCUGCGUCUGUGAUGAGACAACCACGCGGCAAGCGUUGUAUGCUGCUGAUUCGGAUGAGUCAGAUGUGUGC
rnacentral:ribozyme from 1 species